GGUGGCUCAGUGGUAGAGUGCUUGGCUUGCAUGCCUGAGGCCCUGGGUUCGAUUCCCAGCACCA
rnacentral:tRNA from 1 species